rnacentral:tRNA from 1 species
ACCUGGCAGGCUUAAUCGGUAAAGCAUGAGACUCUUAAUCUCAGGGUUGUGAGUUCAAGUCCCAUGUUGGGUG